rnacentral:rRNA from 1 species
GACGAACGCUGGCGGCGUGCCUAAUACAUGCAAGUAGAACGCUGAAGAGAGGAGCUUGCUCUUCUUGGAUGAGUUGCGAACGGGUGAGUAACGCGUAGGUAACCUGCCUUGUAGCGGGGGAUAACUAUUGGAAACGAUAGCUAAUACCGCAUAACAAUGGAUGACACAUGUCAUUUAUUUGAAAGGGGCAAUUGCUCCACUACAAGAUGGACCUGCGUUGUAUUAGCUAGUAGGUGAGGUAACGGCUCACCUAGGCGACGAUACAUAGCCGACCUGAGAGGGUGAUCGGCCACACUGGGACUGAGACACGGCCCAGACUCCUACGGGAGGCAGCAGUAGGGAAUCUUCGGCAAUGGGGGCAACCCUGACCGAGCAACGCCGCGUGAGUGAAGAAGGUUUUCGGAUCGUAAAGCUCUGUUGUAAGUCAAGAACGAGUGUGAGAGUGGAAAGUUCACACUGUGACGGUAGCUUACCAGAAAGGGACGGCUAACUACGUGCCAGCAGCCGCGGUAAUACGUAGGUCCCGAGCGUUGUCCGGAUUUAUUGGGCGUAAAGCGAGCGCAGGCGGUUUGAUAAGUCUGAAGUUAAAGGCUGUGGCUCAACCAUAGUUCGCUUUGGAAACUGUCAAACUUGAGUGCAGAAGGGGAGAGUGGAAUUCCAUGUGUAGCGGUGAAAUGCGUAGAUAUAUGGAGGAACACCGGUGGCGAAAGCGGCUCUCUGGUCUGUAACUGACGCUGAGGCUCGAAAGCGUGGGGAGCGAACAGGGUUAGAUACCCUGGUAGUCCACGCCGUAAACGAUGAGUGCUAGGUGUUGGAUCCUUUCCGGGAUUCAGUGCCGCAGCUAACGCAUUAAGCACUCCGCCUGGGGAGUACGACCGCAAGGUUGAAACUCAAAGGAAUUGACGGGGGCCCGCACAAGCGGUGGAGCAUGUGGUUUAAUUCGAAGCAACGCGAAGAACCUUACCAGGUCUUGACAUCCCGAUGCUAUUUCUAGAGAUAGAAAGUUACUUCGGUACAUCGGUGACAGGUGGUGCAUGGUUGUCGUCAGCUCGUGUCGUGAGAUGUUGGGUUAAGUCCCGCAACGAGCGCAACCCCUAUUGUUAGUUGCCAUCAUUCAGUUGGGCACUCUAGCGAGACUGCCGGUAAUAAACCGGAGGAAGGUGGGGAUGACGUCAAAUCAUCAUGCCCCUUAUGACCUGGGCUACACACGUGCUACAAUGGUUGGUACAACGAGUUGCGAGUCGGUGACGGCAAGCUAAUCUCUUAAAGCCAAUCUCAGUUCGGAUUGUAGGCUGCAACUCGCCUACAUGAAGUCGGAAUCGCUAGUAAUCGCGGAUCAGCACGCCGCGGUGAAUACGUUCCCGGGCCU